ACACGACUACAUUAGAUACCCGCGUAGUCCUAGCCGUAAACGAUACUCGCUAGGUGUCGGCCACGGUGCGACCGUUGUCGGUGCCGUAGGGAAGCCGUGAAGCGAGCCACCUGGGAAGUACGGCCGCAAGGCUGAAACUUAAAGGAAUUGGCGGGGGAGCACCACAACGGGUGGAGCUUGCGGUUUAAUUGGAUUCAACGCCGGAAGUCUUACCGGGACCGACAGCAACAUGAAGGCCAGGCUGAAGACUUUGCCGGAUUAGCUG
rnacentral:rRNA from 1 species